UUCUAUUAAAGAGAAAUAACAGAAAACUUAUUACAGCAGGUAUUUCUCGAUAAUUCAAAGUGUCUAUAUCUGGAGCAAUGCGAAUCCCAAUAAAUAAAAUCU